UUGCGGAGCAAACAAAAGAUCCCCAAAUCACACUGCCUGUAUGAACAAACAAACUUUGUACAAUCAGCUUACGUGAAAAAGAUUCCAUAUUCGAUGCCAAUAGACUCCUGACAUCCAUGUACUGAGUCGUCAAAUGAGCCACGUUAAGAAAACCCAAGCUUAUACGCAUUGGCCCACAGGGUGCCCCAAUAGGGCCCGAAUGAAAGACCCAAGCCUACAUCAUCACAAAGAAAGUCCUACAAAUUCAGACUCGGGCCUGUUUCGAUGAAACCUCGAUGAAAGCCCACAGAAGGGCCAAAGCACAAAAAGCCUACCCAAGUAAACAGGAGAUUGCUUUGCGUAUCACGGAUCGAACACACAAUAGAAUGCUCGAACUACACUCU
rnacentral:lncRNA from 1 species